UUGACAUGUGUGAAAACAUGAAAUGACAGAGUGUUGCUCAGUUACCCAGGCUGGAGUGCAAUGGCAUGAUCUUGGCUCACUGCAGCCUCCACCUCCUGGGUUCAAGCGGUUCUCGUGCCUCAGUCUCCCAAGUAGCUGGGAUUACAGACGAAAUCUUGCUCUGUUGCCCAGGCUGGAGUGCGAUGGCAUGAUCUUGGCUCACGGCAAACUCCGCCUCCCUGGUUCAAGUGAUUCUCCUGCCUCAGCCUCCCGAGUAGCCGGGAUUACAGGCAUGUGCCACCAUGCCCCGUUGGCCAGGCUGGUCUCGAACACCUUACCUCAGGUGAUCCUCCCACCUUUGGGAUUACAGCAGGCUGAGGAAUUACCAAGGAGGCAGGAGG
rnacentral:lncRNA from 1 species